UUUUCUGCAAUGUUAUUGGUUACAUAUACUCUGUUAGGGUCAUGGAUCGUUUGUGGUCCAAAAUGCGGCGGUUAUUGAAAACUUGAAUUUAACCCCGUAUUGUGAAGAGUGUAAAAGACUUGGCUUUUGCUCUUUACUUGAGGAACGUAUAGGGAGUAAAAGUGGAUCUUGGAGGCUUUCUAUGGUCAAUCUUUCGUACGCAACCUGUCGAAGUUACCCGGCUGUUUUAGUGGUGCCACAACACGUGACCGAUGACUCUUUGUUGCGCGUGUCUAAAAACCAUCGUCAUAUGCGUUUUCAUGUUUCAACGUUGAGACAUAAAGUCAAUAAAUUCGCCGUCUUAUUGCGAUCUUCUGCCAUUGAACAAAGCUCUGUGGCAUCCAUCGUUCGCUCUGGUGUAGCUGCAAGUGGUGGAAGCACUGACGCAAUGCGUUCAUCCAACGUGGAGAAAGAUAAAUAAUUAUCUGCCGUUGUGUCUUCAAAUCCUGUAUCGUGGAAUAAAGCGAAACAUCGUUCACUGGCAGCCAACGUCAGCAUGUCUAAAACAACGAUGAAUCUACGAUCAAAUGACAAUGCAUCUAAACGUGUUUCUGUUGUGGAUUCCGUUGACAAAGCAAUAACUGAGCAAGGAUGUGAGCCUGCUGUACUGUACGUUUUUUAAUCUUUCUUGGUGACGUCAUUUGCUCAAGUAAUGUUAGAUCCAUACUACAGAACGAUUAAUGGUUUUAAAGUUUUAGUUGAAAAAGAAUAGAUAGAUAGAUAGAUAGAUGAUUUAUUUCUUAAAAACUGGCAGCCAUAUUGCUGAAAUACGUUUAAGAUUACAUAUAAUACAUACAUAAAUAAAUUAACUAAAUU